AGGUUGGCUUAGAAGCAGCCACCCUUUAAAGAAAGCGUAAUAGCUCACUGGUCUAGCGACUUUGCGCCGAAAAUGUAACGGGGCUAAGUAUGGUGCCGAAGCUUCGGAAUCAGGUUUACCUGAUUGGUAGGAGAGCGUUCCCAACCGGGAUGAAGGUAGAUUGGAAAGUCUGCUGGACUGUUGGGAAGUGAAUAUGCUGGCAUGAGUAACGAAAAAACAGGUGAAAAACCUGUUCGCCGUAAACCCAAGGUUUCCUGGGUAAAGUUAAUCUUCCCAGGGUUAGUCGGCCCCUAAGGCGAGGCUGAAAAGCGUAGUUGAUGGGAAACGGGUUAAUAUUCCCGUACCUGCAUAUGUUCGUUUGAACGAUGGGGGGACGCAGGAAGGUAGGUCAUCCGGGUGUUGGAUAUCCCGGUGCAAGCUCGUAGGGAUGAGAUAUAGGCAAAUCCGUAUCUCUCUAUCCCGAGAAGUGAUGCCGUGUCGUAAGACUGAAGUGACUGAGUCUAUGCUGCCGAGAAAAGCCUCUAAGUGAGAACAUAGGUAGACCGUACUGUAAACCGACACAGGUGGGUGGGGUGAGUAACCCAAGGCGUUUGAGAGAACUCUGGUUAAGGAACUCGGCAAAAUUACCCCGUAACUUCGGGAGAAGGGGUGCCAUCCUUGGUGCGUAUAUUUACUGUACAAGCUUCGGAUGGUCGCAGAGAAAUGGCGGUGGCGACUGUUUACUAAAAACAUAGGACUCUGCUAAGUCGUAAGACGAUGUAUAGGGUCUGACGCCUGCCCGGUGCUGGAAGGUUAAGAGGAGAUGUCAGCGCAAGCGAAGCAUUGAAUUGAAGCCCCAGUAAACGGCGGCCGUAACUAUAACGGUCCUAAGGUAGCGAAAUUCCUUGUCGGGUAAGUUCCGACCUGCACGAAUGGCGUAACGAUCUCCGCACUGUCUCGACCAGAGACUCAGUGAAAUUGAAUUGGCGGUGAAGAUGCCGUCUCCCCGCAGAAAGACGGAAAGACCCUGUGCACCUUUACUAUAGCUUGACAUUGGAUCUUGAACUAUCAUGUGUAGGAUAGGUGGGAGACUGUGAAGCGGGUACGCUAGUAUCCGUGGAGUCAACCUUGAAAUACCACCCUUGUUAGUUUAGGACUCUAAUCCCUCGCCGUCAUCCGGCAGGGAGACAGUGUCUGGUGGGUAGUUUGACUGGGGCGGUCGCCUCCCAAAGAGUAACGGA
rnacentral:rRNA from 1 species